AUUGAACGCUGGCGGCAGGCCUAACACAUGCAAGUCGAGCGGAAGAAGGGAGCUUGCUCCUGGAUUCAGCGGCGGACGGGUGAGUAAUGCCUAGGAAUCUGCCUGGUAGUGGGGGAUAACGUCCGGAAACGGGCGCUAAUAACGCAUACGUCCUGAGGGAGAAAGUGGGGGAUCUUCGGACCUCACGCUAUCAGAUGAGCCUAGGUCGGAUUAGCUAGUUGGUGGGGUAAAGGCCUACCAAGGCGACGAUCCGUAACUGGUCUGAGAGGAUGAUCAGUCACACUGGAACUGAGACACGGUCCAGACUCCUGCGGGAGGCAGCAGUGGGGAAUAUUGGACAAUGGUCGAAAGCCUGAUCCAGCCAUGCCGCGUGUGUGAAGAAGGUCUUCGGAUUGUAAAGCACUUUAAGUUGGGAGGAAGGGCAGUAAGUUAAUACCUUGCUGUUUUGACGUUACCAACAGAAUAAGCACCGGCUAACUUCGUG
rnacentral:rRNA from 1 species